GACUUAACCAAGGAGAAGAAGGAAGGCAAAGAGGGACCUCAGGCACCCCAGAUCUCAGCUAAACACAUCUUCUGCAGUAGGAAAGAGCGAGAGACCCUGACCCAAAACUGUACCAUCACCUCCAUGACUCUAAUUACGGGGAGAAGAAAAUGGAAGACAGGAUGAUCUCCCAAACACCAUGACCUUCAUCCCUGCCUCAAGUAAAGGAAAAUACAACAGACAUCAGUGGAGUGAUGGAGUCCCAUGUCAGAUCCUGAGGACAGGAGACAAAACGAGAUGAGAAUUUUAAUCCCAAGAAGCUUGGGGCAGAUGAGAAGAGAACCACGAAUUUAUCCAAAAUCCCCAGAGCUAAUAAAAGGAAGAAGAAAGAAGAAGAAGAAGAAGAAGAAGAAGAAGAA
rnacentral:lncRNA from 1 species